rnacentral:rRNA from 1 species
UUUUGCUGGCGACCGGCGCACGGGUGAGUAACACGUAUCCAACCUGCCCUUUACUCGGGGAUAGCCUUUCGAAAGAAAGAUUAAUACCCGAUAGCAUAAUGAUUCCGCAUGGUUUCAUUAUUAAAGGAUUCCGGUAAAGGAUGGGGAUGCGUUCCAUUAGGUUGUUGGUGAGGUAACGGCUCACCAAGCCUUCGAUGGAUAGGGGUUCUGAGAGGAAGGUCCCCCACAUUGGAACUGAGACACGGUCCAA